rnacentral:misc_RNA from 1 species
GACUAAACUCUUUGAAAAUGGAUGAGAAAUAACAGUUAUAAUCACAAUCUGAUCAAAAUUGUUACAUAUAAGACAUUCCAAAUAAGGGGCAUUUUGCCCCUUUGGGAGUUAAGAAUGUUUAAUUUAUGCAGUUGUAUCUGUGGAAGGGAAAGGACCCAGUAAUGAGUGUCUGCUGCUUUCAAGGAUGUAGUAGGUGGUUAAAUGUAAAUUAUGGAUUGUUGCAACAA